CGCGGCCUAUCAGCUUGUUGGUGAGGUAACGGCUCACCAAGGCGACGACGGGUAGCCGGCCUGAGAGGGCGACCGGCCACACUGGGACUGAGACACGGCCCAGACUCCUACGGGAGGCAGCAGUGGGGAAUAUUGGGCAAUGGAGGAAACUCUGACCCAGCGACGCCGCGUGAGGGAUGAAGGCCUUCGGGUUGUAAACCUCUUUCAGUAGGGAAGAAGCGAAAGUGACGGUACCUACAGAAGAAGCACCGGCUAACUAUGUGCCAGCAGCCGCGGUAAUACAUAGGGUGCAAGCGUUGUCCGGAAUUAUUGGGCGUAAAGAGCUCGUAGGUGGUUCGAUACGUCGGAUGUGAAAAUCAGGGGCUCAACCCCUGACCUGCAUUCGAUACGGUCGAGCUAGAGUUUGGUAGGGGAGACUGGAAUUCCUGGUGUAGCGGUGGAAUGCGCAGAUAUCAGGAGGAACACCGAUGGCGAAGGCAGGUCUCUGGGCCAAUACUGACACUGAGGAGCGAAAGCGUGGGGAGCGAACAGGAUUAGAUACCCUGGUAGUCCACGCCGUAAACGGUGGGCGCUAGUUGUGCGAACCUUCCACGGUUUGUGCGACGCAGCUAACGCAUUAAGCGCCCCGCCUGGGGAGUACGG
rnacentral:rRNA from 1 species